GAAAUGCGAUAAGUAAUGUGAAUUGCAGAAUUCAGUGAAUCAUCGAAUCUUUGAACGCACCUUGCGCUCCUUGGUAUUCCUUGGAGCAUGCCUGUUUGAGUAUCAUGAAAUCUUCAAAGUAAAUCUUUUGUUAACUCAAUUGGUUUCUACUUUGGUAUUGGAGGUCUUUGCAGCUUCACACCUGCUCCUCUUUGUUCAUUAGCUGGAUCUCAGUGUUAUGCUUGGUUCCACUCGGCGUGAUAAGUUAUCUAUCGCUGAGGACACUGUAAAAGGUGGCCAAGGUAAAUGCAGAUGAACCGCUUCUAAUAGUCCAUUGACUUGGACAAUACUUUUAUGAUCUGAUCUCAAAUCAGGUAGGACUACCCGCUGAACUUAUG
rnacentral:misc_RNA from 1 species